rnacentral:rRNA from 1 species
GGUUAACCGAAUAGGGGAGCCGGAGGGAAACCGAGUCUUAAUUGGGCGUUAAGUUGCAGGGUAUAGACCCGAAACCCGGUGAUCUAGCCAUGGGCAGGUUGAAGGUUGGGUAACACUAACUGGAGGACCGAACCGACUAAUGUUGAAAAAUUAGCGGAUGACCUGUGGCUGGGGGUGAAAGGCCAAUCAAACCGGGAGAUAGCUGGUUCUCCCCGAAAGCUAUUUAGGUAGCGCCUCGUGAAUUUAUCUCCGGGGGUAGAGCACUGUUUCGGCUAGGGGGCCAUCCCGGCUUACCAACCCGAUGCAAACUGCGAAUACCGGAGAAUGUUAUCACGGGAGACACACGGCGGGUGCUAACGUCCGUCGUGAAGAGGGAAACAACCCAGACCGCCAGCUAAGGUCCCAAAGUCAUGGUUAAGUGGGAAACGAUGUGGGAAGGCCCAGACAGCCAGGAUGUUGGCUUAGAAGCAGCCAUCAUUUAAAGAAAGCGUAAUAGCUCACUGGUCGAGUCGGCCUGCGCGGAAGAUGUAACGGGGCUAAACCAUGCACCGAAGCUGCGGCAGCGACGCUGAUGCGUUGUUGGGUAGGGGAGCGUUCUGUAAGCCUGCGAAGGUGGCCUGUGAGGGUUGCUGGAGGUAUCAGAAGUGCGAAUGCUGACAUAAGUAACGAUAAAGCGGGUGAAAAGCCCGCUCGCCGGAAGACCAAGGGUUCCUGUCCAACGUUAAUCGGGGCAGGGUGAGUCGACCCCUAAGGCGAGGCCGAAAGGCGUAGUCGAUGGGAAACGGGUUAAUAUUCCCGUACUUGGUGUUACUGCGAAGGGGGGACGGAGAAGGCUAUGUUGGCCGGGCGACGGUU